AUGGCCCCGAGAGGGCCCCGAGCUGAGGCCUACAGCCAACCCAUCCCCUCAUCCCCAUCUCCCCUUUGUCCCGCAGGGCUCCGGGCGGCCGUGACCCUGCUGGAGUGCGGGGGGGACCUCCAGCCCCCCGGGGGGUCCCUGCGCCUCCUCUGCCGAGGCUCCGGGUUCAGUUUCGGGAGUUACGCCAUGCUCUGGAUCCGCCAGAGACCCGGGCAGCGGCUGGAACUCAUCGCGGGGAUCAGGAAAACGGGCGGCAGCACCGCCUAUGCUCCGUCAGUGCAGGGCCGGUUCAGGAUCUCCAGGGACAACGGGCAGAGCUCGGUGACGCUGACCAUGAACAACCUCAAGGACGAGGAUUCCGGAUCCUAUUUCUGCGCCAAAUCUGCUGAUGCUGGUACUGUCUCCACCCAGGCCACCAAACCUCGGUGCAAAUGGUCGAGAUUUGGGGACAAUGGGGCAGAUUUGGGUCUGUAG